CUUGGCGGCCAUAGCAAGUUGGAACCACCCCUUCCCAUUCCGAACAGGACCGUGAAACGACUUAGCGCCGAUGAUAGUGUGCACCUCGCAUGUGAAAGUAGGUCACCGCCAAGC
rnacentral:rRNA from 1 species